rnacentral:rRNA from 1 species
GCAUAGCGGUAUCCUGAGUAACGCGGGACACGAGGAAUCCUGCGCGAAUCUGCCGGGACCAUCCGGUAAGGCUAAAUACUCCCGUGAGACCGAUAGCGAACGAGUACUGUGAAGGAAAGGUGAAAAGAACCCCGAGCAGGGGAGUGAAAUAGUUCCUGAAACCAUACGCCUACAAGCGGUCGGAGCAUCUUACGAUGUGACGGCGUGCCUUUUGCAUAAUGAUCCUACGAGUUACCGUCACUGGCGAGGUUGAGUGUCAUGAGACACGUAGCCGCAGUGAAAGCGAGCCUGAACAGGGCGCAUAGUCAGUGGGGGUAGACGCGAAACCAAGUGAUCUACACUUGGCCAGGAUGAAGUCCCGGUAACACGGGAUGGAGGUCCGCACCAAUAAGCGUUGAAAAGCUUCUGGAUGAGCCGAGUGUAGGAGUGAAAGGCCAAUCAAACUUGGAGAUAGCUCGUACUCCCCGAAAGGCAUUUAGGUGCCGCGUCGGAUGGUCACCGUGAGAGGUAGAGCGACCGAUAGGACAAGAGGGCUUCACCGCCUAUCGAGUCCUGACGAACUCCGAAUGCUCACGGUCUGCAGUCCGGCAGUAAGGGGGCGGGUGCUAAGGUCCGUCCCCGAGAGGAGAAGAAUCCAGACCGCCGUCUAAGGUCCCGGAGUUCUGCCUGAGUUAGUCUAACGAAGUCUGGUCCCUAUGACAGCUAGGAUGUUGGCUUGGAAGCAGCCAUUCAUUCAAAGAGUGCGUAACAGCUCACUAGUCGAGGGUCCGGGCAUGGAUAAUAAUCGGGUAUAAGGCAGACACCGAAGGCGCGGGAUAGCAUUUAAGAAAGUAUCGGUAGGGGAGCAUACUCACAGCGUGGAAUGGUGUACGUAAGUUAUCCUGGAGCGGUGAGUAAAGCAAAUGUAGGAAUAAGUAACGAUAAGGAGGGUUAGAUUCCCUCCCGCUGUAAGACCAAGGUUUCCCGGGCAAUGCCAAUCAGCCCGGGGUCAGUCGGGUCCUAAGUCUAAGCCGAACGGCGAUGGCGAUGGCAGAGACGGUUAAUAUUCCGUCACUGCCGCAUGGGGCGACGUGGAGACGGAGCAGUGAAACCACCGCGGGGCGACGGAAGUCCCCGUUGAAGAGUGUAGGUGUUGAGGAUGGCAGGCAAAUCCACCGUCCGAGCUGAACUUGACAGUAUGGAGUCUUCUUCGGAAGAAUCCAAUAGUGUGGGUAAUCAUACUCCCGAGAAAAUCCGCUAAGCUUAACCCAUGCGGCACCCGUACCGCAAACGGACACACGUGGUCGGGUAGAACAUACUAAGGCGUUGAGAGAUUCAUGGUUAAGGAACUAGGCAAAUUGACCCUGUAACUUCGGGAUAAAGGGUCCUCGUGAUGAGCGAGGCGCAGAGAAUAGGUCCAGGCAACUGUUUAACAAAAACACAGGGCUGUGCAAACUCGAAAGAUGACGUAUACAGCCUGACACCUGCCCGGUGCCGGAAGGUUAAGAGGAGAUGUCACUCGCAAGAGGAAGCAUUGAAUUGAAGCCCCGGUAAACGGCGGCCGUAACUAUAACGGUCCUAAGGUAGCGAAAUUCCUUGUCGGGUAAGUUCCGACCUGCACGAAUGGUGUAAUGAUCUGGACACUGUCUCAACCGUGAGCUCAGUGAAAUUGUAGUAUCGGUGAAGAUGCCGAUUACCCGCGAUGGGACGAAAAGACCCCGUGAACCUUUACUACAGCUUAGCAUUGACCUUGGUCAUCCGAUGUGUAGGAUAGGCCGGAGGCUUCGAAGCGGGAGCGCCAGCUUUCGUGGAGCCAUCCUUGAAAUACGGCCCUUUGGCUGUCUGAGGUCUAACGCGUGAUACGCGGACACUGCUUGGUGGGUAGUUUGACUGGGGUGGUCGCCUCCAAAAGCGUAACGGAGGCUUCCAAAGGUGCCCUCGGGUCGAUUGGUAACCGACCUCAAAGAGUGCAAUGGCAUAAGGGCGCUUGACUGGGAGGCAGACAUGCCGAGCAGGCAGGAAACUGGGGCAUAGUGAUCCGGCGGAUGUGUAUGGAAACUCCGUCGCUCAAAGGAUAAAAGGUACUCCGGGGAUAACAGGCUGAUCCCCCCCAAGAGCUCAUAUCGACGGGGUGGUUUGGCACCUCGAUGUCGGCUCGUCACAUCCUGGGGCUGGAGAAGGUCCCA